AAUGCGGGAGACCUGGGUUCAAUCCCUGGGGUGGGAAGAUCCCCUGGGGAAGGGAAAGGCUACCCACUCCAGUGUUCUGGCCUGGAGAAUUCCAUGGACUAAAUAGGCCAUGGGGUUGCAAAGAGUCGAACAUGACUGAGUGAGUGAACUGAACUGACUCAAUACUUCCUUU